CCAUCUACCCACGCAAGCCUAUUCCGUCAAGAGAAGAUCUGUCUCCUCCAGAAUUUUCAUCUGUCGUGCUGAGAGAAGGAAUGAUUUCUUAUUCUACAGAUCAUAUGCUAUCAAGGACCUUCGUUCCUUAACAGUUGAUCUUUGAUUUUUUUUUUUAAUCCGAUGUUGGUAAAGACCUAGUUCUUUAUCGAUGGAUCUGUUUGGUUAAAAGAUUAAGAACCCUAAUCAGAGUAGUUUCUUAACUACCACGAUCCGGAUUUUUAUCAUCUUCUUGGAUUUUCUCACGAGUUUGAUGUUUUAUUUUAUCUCGUUCCAUUCUUAUUUCUUUUUUGCAUUUACUCGUGAGCAUGUUUAAUUUCUGCUAUCUGUUUAUGAAAUUUUCUAUUACUAAUUGUUUACUGAUCUCUCGAAUGGCAUUCGUCUGUAU
rnacentral:lncRNA from 1 species